rnacentral:lncRNA from 1 species
GAACAACAUUGACAACUUCACCAACAAAUCGCACCGAUUGGUCCGAGCCGUGCCAGUAGGCCACUGAGGGUCCCGUGUGAGGAUCCUCCUAUCGAUGAAGAUCGCAACCUCCUCAGAGGUCACUACAGUGGUUGGGUGGCUAUCCUUCUCAGGAGUGCAUAUCCUCCGGUCAUCCUCCGAGAGAAGUCUGAAAAGAUGUAACCACCUGCC